rnacentral:rRNA from 1 species
UACGGGGGGGCAAGCGUUGUUCGGAAUUACUGGGCGUAAAGGGCUCGUAGGCGCCAACUAAGUCGGACGUGAAAUCCCCGAGCUCAACUCGGGAACUGCGUCCGAUACUGGCAGGCUUGAAUCCGGGAGAGGAUGCGGAAUUCCAGGUGUAGCGGUGAAAUGCGUAGAUAUCUGGAGGAACACCGGUGGCGAAGGCGGCAUCCUGGACCGGCAUUGACGCUGAGGCGCGAAAGCCAGGGGAGCAAAGCGGG